CCUGCUCCUAGCAGCAUUACAGGUGUGACUGCUAUACCACAUGUGCUAUCAGUAGGCAGCAGAGAGGAGAGGGGCUGUGUCUAAGCUCAGCGUUUUGACUGUGAACAUCUGAAUGAUAAGCUGUAGCAGG
ensembl:snoRNA